ensembl:lncRNA
CUUUUUAAAAAUUUUUCUCCCCAAAGCCCCAGCACAUAGUUGUAUGUCCUACUGGUAGGUCCUUCUAGUUCUGCUAUUUUGGAUGCCUCCACAGCAUGGCCUCAUGAGCGGUGUGUAGGUCCACGCCCAGGAUCUGAACCAGCCAACCCUGGGCACCGAGGUGGAGUGUGUGAACUUAACCACUCAACCAGCGGGCCAGGCUACCAUUCCUUUUAAAUAAAGUAAAAGGCAAAUGCCAUUUAUAGAUAUGUAACUGGAUGAGAUUUCAAUGAUGUGAAAAAGGCUUUUAUGUGGGUGUGUUUUUGUUUUUCAUCUAUCAGUAAAGGUAGAAUGGCAGAGCCAUUGGCCCCAUUAUUUACAUUAAGACACUUUCUUCAAAAUGAUAUAAAUUGUCAAUUCCUAUUUUGGGGGAAAAGUUUUUGUUUCCAAACAACCUUUGUUUCCACUGAUUUGAAAAAUAAUAAUGGGAGGAGGGGGAAUUGGAGGAAGAGGUCAAAGAUACAAAUUUCCAGUGAUAAUAUAAGUAAGCAUUAAGGAUGUGAUAACUAUAGUUAAUUCUGAUGUACGGUAUACGGGAAAGUUCUUAAGAGAGUAGAUCCUAAGAGUUCUCAUCACAAGAUUUUUUUUUUCUUUUCAUUGUAUCUAUAUGACAUGAUGGGUGUUAACUAACCCUAUUGUGGGAAUCAUUUUACAAUAUCUGUAACUCAAACCAUCAUGCUGUACACCUUACAUUUAGACAGUGAUGUCUAUCAAUUAUUUCUCAUUAAAACUGGAAAACAGUAAAAAAAAUAAAAUAAGAGGACAGAGUGAAAUAAAUAAUAAUAAAUUUUUACUUUAUAUGAAGAGUGUAUUCUAACACCAACUGGUUGUCCGGCAGUCCAGUUCUGGCACUGACCACACUGACCGCACAGAGCUUGCACAGAGCCUGCAAGUUAAGGGCUCAGCCUCCACAAGGCCACCCUUGCUGCAGGUGCAGCCACAGUGUUACAAGUUUGGGGACUCCCAUGACCCUCCUGGGUUCAGUAAUUCAUUAGAACAACUCACAACUCAGGGAAGUGCUGUACUUGCAACUGUAGUUUUAUUAGAAAGAAUCUGGAUCAGGACCAGUCAGAUGAAGAGACGCACAGGGCGAGGUGUGGGAGGGUCCCCACAGGGAGCCUCCAUGCCCGCCACCUGUGGAGUCAGGGUGUGCACCCUCCCAGCACAUCCGUGUGUCCACCAGCCGGGAAACUCCACCGCACCUCGGUCUCCAGAGUGUUUACUGGGGUUUCGUUACAUGGAACAGGGACCACAGACUCCACUCCAUCUCCAGCCCCCACAGAAGUCCUGCUGGCUCCAAGCCCAGCCCUCUGAUCACAGGGUUGGCCUUUCUGGUAACCAGGCCCAUCCUGAGCCAUCACAUUAGCAUAAACUCAGGCGUGAGCCAAGGAACUCAUGAAUAGCAAGAUACUCCUGUCAUUCAGAAAAUGCCCAGGGUUUUGAGAGGCCAGGUGCCAGGAACCCAGAACAAAGACCAGAGAAACUCUUUAUUUUACAACAGAGUAGAAUGAGAAAACUAAGAGAUUUUUUUAUAAUGAGUUAGCCAGUGACAGGUUAAAUAACAAUGAUGUGGGCUCUCACUUAAUCCCCAAGGAGUUAUGUAAUGGUCAAGUUACUUUCCCUUUGAACUUCCUGCUGUCGCUCUGCCCCUUGUGAUAAUUGAUAAUUACAUCUGGAUGAACUCCUGCCUCCCUCUGCAGACGUGGGGAAUUGAAUGCUCUCUUGCGCAUUUAGCUGCGUAUUGCUUUCCACAACAACGUAGAACUGUGUGAGAUUCCUUUUCUCACACUAGGACUGUUUCAACAUUUUUAGGACACUGCUUCAUCCAUCCUUUAGCUCCUGCCAUUCUUCCAAAAAAGAGAAUUUGGGGUAAUGUACACAUUUGGCACCAUAUGAAUACAUAUUCUAAAAAUCGCAUUCUUAACAUUUUUCCAAAACCUGUUUUUUUCCUUUUCCCCCUUUCCAUGGUCCCCUCUAUCCAACUUCAGUAUUCCAGAAAUCAGAGUCUAGUAUGAGAAUUCUCUUUGGAAGUUAAGAUUGAUCUGUGUCAAUUAAGAUGCUUUCAGCUUCAAGUAAAAUGAAUAAAGAAACAUGCCAAUGGGCUUAAACCAUCAGGAAUUGUAAUGGCUCAUGUAACUGAAAAUGCAGACAUAGGGUGAGUUCCAGGCAGCCGGGAGUCUGGCACAGUUUCUUAAUAAUCCUUCUCAGCUUUACCACAGAAAUGAGGGCAGUGUGCUUCCUGGUUUGUGUCUAGCAAGAGAGACUGGUUUUCUGUCACUGUCUUUAAAAAUAAGGAGAAUCUUUUCCAGAAGUCUCUAGCAGCCGUCCCCUGGAAUUGAACUGACCAAGAUUGCAUUAUCUGCCUCUUCCUAGCUGGAGAGAUGGGAUUAAUGUUAGUCUGUUUAGAGCCCAUCCCUGGAACUGGGAAUCCGGUAUCAUCUGUGAGUCUCAUCGGCUGCAAGGGUGAGGGGUGGGUAUCUCAUCAGAAGAUCUGUUAGGAGGGUGGGAGGAGGAAAAUGGACAUCGAGUGGGCAACCACGGUUGUUCACUGUACCUGGAAAAGUGACCUGGCAGGUUGAUGAUGACAAAACAACAUUUAUCCAGCACUUACUGUAUUCUAGGUGCUGCGUGUGCGUUUUCUCCUAACAGCCCUUUCAGGCAGGUACCGCUCUUCUUCUCGUUCUACGAAUGAUGACACCGAGAGAGAUUAAGGGACUUGCAUUGAUGCUGCACAAAGACGGAUCACUGACGUGCCACCUGAUUUGAUUACACAGUCCACGUGUUGAGAGGUGGUGAAUGGAUUAGACAAAGUGUGGUCUACCCAGACAGUGGGAUCUAAGCAGCCUUAUAAAGGGGUGCAGUCCUGACACCUGCCGCAACACGGGUAAAGCCUGAAGACUUCAUUCCAAGUGAAACGAAGGGCCAGUAUUUUAUGACUUCACUUAAAUGAGGUACGUGGAGUAGUCAAGUCCAUAGAGACAAAGAGUAGCAUGGUGGUUGCCAGGGCUGGGGGAGGGGGAAUGUGGUUAUUGUUUAAUGGGUGCAGAGCUUCAGUGUGGGAUGAUGGAAAGUUCUGGAGAUGGAUGGUGGUGAUGGUUGCACAGCAAUGUGAAUACUUAAUGUCACUGCUUGAAAUGGUAAAUUUUGUGUUACAGAAAUUUUAUCACAAUAAAGAAAGUAUGUAAUGUGGCAUAGACUCUUGUGAUCUCUGAGUGUCCACUCUUCCUUUUCCCCUUUGAAUAGUAGACCCCUCUCCACUCUGAGCCGUGG